UACGUAGGGAGCAAGCGUUGUCCGGAAUCAUUGGGCGUAAAGCGCGCGUAGGCGGCCUCGUAAGUCCGUUGUGAAAGUCAAAGGCUCAACCUUUGAAAGCCGAUGGAUACUGUGAGGCUAGAGUCCGGAAGAGGCGAGUGGAAUUCCCGGUGUAGCGGUGAAAUGCGUAGAUAUCGGGAGGAACAUCAGUGGCGAAGGCGGCUACCUGGCCCAAUACUGACACUCAGGUGCGACAGCGUGGGGAGCAAACAGG
rnacentral:rRNA from 1 species